UAUUAAAAUUUUCAUCUAUUUGUACUGUUAAAAACUAGUGUGGUUGAUGGAAUAACUAAACAGUGACGCAUGAUGUGCCACGAAUCCCUCAUGCUUACAUUGACUAGUUUUUAACAUUAAAAAUGGAUGAAACUUUUAAUA
rfam:Gossypium hirsutum cultivar TM-1 unplaced genomic scaffold scaffold5999.1, whole genome shotgun sequence